CUAGACUGCACUGAUGCGUGUUUGUAUGUUUAAAUUUCUGAUAAAUCCCCGUAUAUUUAACUUUGUCUGUUAUCGCACCGCUGAAUAUAUCAUCGCUAUGCGGAUAUUAUAAAAGGAGAAUCUUUUCUACAGGUCGCUAUUUUUGAAUACAACUUUGUGUCAUCUGCAAAUAAUUUUAACGUGCAAUUCAGGAUUUCCGGUCUUGUCUACAGCAUGGCGUCUGGGGACACUGCUUUUGGAACACAUAGCGAUAUCCCAGGACUGGAAGCAGAUUUUGAAAAGGGAGAAGAACACG